rnacentral:rRNA from 1 species
AUGUGCCUGAAUCUAAAAAACUUUUCUCACAUCAGGCAAUGGGUGUUGGAUUGAAUAUCUGAAGCCUCGGAGAUCCACUCCAUGAUAUUUGCAGUAGCUUUAUGGCACAUUUGGGACAAUAGGAAUUCUUGCCGAAAUGGUGAGGCCUUACCUCAUCCCGUGCGUGUUUCCGGACAGAAAGCUUACAUUGAUUUUAUCUUGUUGAACAAUGUCAUAUCUGAAGGCGUUAGUAGGCGUGAGGCCUUGAAGUCAGUCAAGAAAUGGACUCCGCCACCAGAGGGACUAAUGUUGAUCAACAUAGACGUUGCAAUCUUCUCCAGUACUUCAAAAGCUGGGUAUGGCGUUAUCAUGCGUAAUCAUCUAGGGGUUAUGCAGGCUGCUUGUCGAGGAUUUGUUGAUCAUGUGCAAUGUCCUGAAGUUGCUGAAGCAGUAGCCAUUCUCCAGGCGCUCAAGCUUGCCGAAAGCAUAGGAGUUCAGUCAUUUCAAAUUGCGUCUGAUUGUCUCUCACUUGUUAAUAAGCUGCAACAGCAGGGGCAGGAUAGGACUUCGACAGGUGCCAUUGUUCAUGAUAUUAAACUGAGAGCCAAAAAGUUUGUAUCAUGUACCUUUAAGUAUGUUAGUCGAGUAUGUAAUGAGGCAGCCCAUGUUCUGGCCAGGUCGGCAGAACAUGACCAUGGAUCCUCUUGGUUAGAUGAGCCUCCUGAGAUUAUCAGGGCAAUUAUCUGUACUGAACAAUUAAGGAAUGAAUGA